GACGAACGCUGGCGGCGUGCUUAACACAUGCAAGUCGAGCGGUAAGGCCCUUUCGGGGGUACACGAGCGGCGAACGGGUGAGUAACACGUGGGUGACCUGCCCUCAGCUCUGGGAUAAGCCUGGGAAACCGGGUCUAAUACCGGAUAUGACUCCAUGACGCAUGUUGUGGGGUGGAAAGCCUUGUGCGGCUGAGGAUGGGCCCGCGGCCUAUCAGCUUGUUGGUGGGGUGAUGGCCUACCAAGGCGACGACGGGUAGCCGGCCUGAGAGGGCGACCGGCCACACUGGGGACUGGGACACGGCCCAGACUCCUACGGGAGGCAGCAGUGGGGAAUCUUGCGCAAUGGGCGAAAGCCUGACGCAGCGACGCCGCGUGAGGGAUGACGGCC
rnacentral:rRNA from 1 species